rnacentral:rRNA from 1 species
AACCAGGAGGUUGGCUUAGAAGCAGCCAUCCUUUAAAGAAAGCGUAAUAGCUCACUGGUCUAAUAGAAAUCCUGCGCCGAAGAUGUAACGGGGCUCAAACCACGUACCGAAGCUGUGGGUUACAUGCCGCAGCGGCAUGUAGCGGUAGCGGAGCGUUCCGUAGGCCUGCGAAGGUAUACCCGUGAGGGGUGCUGGAGGUAUCGGAAGUGCGAAUGCUGACAUGAGUAGCGAUAAUGCGGGUGAAAAGCCCGCACGCCGUAAGCCCAAGGUUUCCUGUUCAACGUUCAUCGGAGCAGGGUGAGUCGGCCCCUAAAGCGAGGCAGAGAUGCGUA